rnacentral:lncRNA from 1 species
UGUGUAUAAUGAGCAGGAUGAAAAUUUUGCUGACAUGAUAUUUUUGUAGGAUAAAACAAGUGAGUUAGUCAGGACUAUAUUCUAAAUUUGAUCUUGUAACUAAAAAGGCAUCUGAAAACCUCAUUUUGGAAUGUCACAGAGAAUUUUUUAUAGUUAUUAGUUUUACUAGAACUUGUAGUCCCAUAAUAAAUUCAACUAAAAUAUAUACUCAACUUUCAAAUAUAAUUAACACACUCUCUUGGGAAAGUCUAGUUUAUAGACCUGAAGGAAUACCUAUUCAAUUAUAGAUAUGGAAGAGUCCCUAUUCAAAUCUGCUUCCUGAAGACAAACCUCCUAAUGUGUUUUAUGUUCCUUUGCACAGAUCUCUCAGUUGAGUUGUCACUACAGGAUAAUUAUGGUUUGAAAAAUCACAAUGACAAAUUGGUAUCUCAAAGCAUAUAGGAAACAAGAGGCUUCUGUGAUAAUAAGGUCUUUUGUAAUGCAAAGCAUAAGUGAUUCUAUACUUUGUAAUAAAAUUAAGAGCAGUAUUAGUCUGUCAAAUAAUCUCAUAUUGUGAUUUAUAGAAAUCCUUUCCUGUGGUAUGCAACUUAGGACAAAAUAGAGUUUAGAAAGUAAUCUUUAAUAAAUUAAGAAGAGGUAUUGUAUUAUUAUUAGCAAUAAAUUAAUAGGUAUUAUAAUUUAGGUAUUAUUUAAUAAAUUAAGAAGAGGUCAUUUUAUACGAUUCCACUAAACUAUCCUAUUUGAGAAUUUUAUAAGGCUUUGUUGUUGUUGCUUAAUCAUUAAGACAUUUAACACUGAGUAUACUUCCAGUCAUGCACAGGAUAAUUGUGCAACAAAGGAUUAACAUUAACCAAAGAGGAGUUCCCGUCGUGGCAGUGGUUAACGAAUGUGACUAGGAACCAUGAGGUUGAGGGUUCGGUCCCUGGCCUUGCUCAGUGGGUUAAGGAUCCAACGUUGCUCUGAGCUGUGGUGUAGGUCACAGACAUGGCUCGGAUCCCGUGAUGCUGUGGCUCUGGCGUAGGCCAGUGGCUACAGCUCUGACUCAACCCCUAGCCUGGGAACCUCCAUAUGCCAUGCCGAGGGAGCGGCCCAAAGAAAUAGCAAAAAGACAAAGAAAGAAAAAACAAAAACAAAAACAAAAACAAAAAAAACAUUAACCAAAGAGAGGUUUAGCCUUUGCCCUUGGCUUCUAGAAGGUAAUUUCCUGCCUGAUAAGAGUGUCUUUGUUUACCUGAUGAACCCUCCUUGCCUGGUAAUCUAUGCUAACAAUGUAGUUUAUGGUGGGGGACCUUGCCCUACUCAGUAUCAGCUCAAUUUCUGCAAAGGUUGAAGACUAAGGCCAGCCAGGUCAACUGUGUAUAACUGAGCCCCAAUAAAAAUUCUGUAUGCCAAAGUUCCAAUGAAUUUUCCUGGUUGGCAAUGCUCCAUGCGUGUUGCCUACAUCACUACUGGGAAGAAUAAGUGCUGUUUGUACUAAUCCCUUGGGAGAGAACAGCUGACAGCUCUGUGCUUUGAUGUACCCUGAAUGCAGCUAUCCGGAUUCCUUCCUCUGUUGCUUUUCAGCCAUAUGCUUUCUCUAUAAUAAGCCCUAACAAUGAGUUAAAAAGCUUUUCUGAGUUCUCUUAAUCUCUCUACCAAAUUAUUGCACCUAACAGUGGUCCUGGGGACCAACCCUAAAACUUGCAAUUGGAGUCAGAAGUGAAAGUGACCUUGAGAUUGCCAAACUUUUUAUCAUCAGAGGUCACUUUAUCUGUUAACCUCAUCAAAUCAAAUUCAGUCUAUUUUCUGAGAACAAUUAUUUCCUUACCUCUUUUUGAGGGAUUGGGAGGAGGGAAAGUAGCCUCUUAAUCUCUGUCAAUCUCAGUUUUCUUAUCUGGGUAAUGAGAAUAAAAAGAUUAAUUACAUAAAAUAUCUUCGACAAUGAAUUUUUAUAAAGAUGUAAAUAUCCCAUCUAAUAAGUCUGGUAUGUGGUAAGAGCUCCAUAAAUGCUAGCAUCUAGUUCUCCUUUCUGACUGAAAUAAAAUAUACCAUAAUAAUUUAUUGAACUUUAUAUAAUCAAUUCACUUUGAUUUAUUCAAAAAAAGAAAAUUCUUUUUCUAUGUCUAAUAUUCUUUAGUUGUGUUCAUUUUACCCAAAGGAUUUUUUGUCAUUGAAGUUGGAAAUCAAUGUGUGUGUGUAUUAAAUUAGAUAGGACUAUAACUAAAACACUUUGUUAUGAAUAUUCUGCUUCCAUGACUUUAUGGUGAGUCUAUGUAUCUUCAUAACAGCAUUCUGCUGAUUUUUCCUUUGAAAGGCUUUAAAGUUAUAUAAAGAAAAAAAAUACAUCUGACUCGGUGCAGUUCUGAGACCUGCCAGGAUUGUGCUGGGAGUUAUUUACAGAAGAUCUAUUUCUUCUGUUGGGAAUACAUAGCACAAGUUUUCCUUAUUGUUCUGGACAUCUCACCCACUAAACCAUUCGUUUUCUCUGAGGACAGAAGUAAAUAGCACAAUUUGUUCUCAGAGACGACUAGCUGUUUCUGAAAUGUGAGGAAGCUCAUGGUAAAUGGGCAGAAUGUUGGAAAUAAAUAAGAAAAAUGAGGCAGCAGAAAUAAAUCUUUUAUGAUGCCUUCUCUCAUUCAUUUAUAUAGAAGCAGUUUUUUUGCCACAGCUACAGGUGACAAGAAACAACAAAGAUUGCUAGUUUGAAAUAUUCCUGAGAAAAUAACUUUAGCACCAAAGUAAUUUCAUCAGGAGCCUCAAAAGGCACUUAUGUGAACCUUUUUAAAAAGUGCAAACUAAAGAUUGAUUUACAGAAAACAAUGAUUGAUUUAUUUAGAAUUCUGGCAAUGUUAUUUUAUUGUUAUUUAAUUUGUAUGAUCCCCCUUUAUUGCAAUAAAUAUUGUAUAAUUCAGACAUCAAAGUUGAGGGAAAGAAAUAUUGAGAUUUCCAAAAAUGCUGUAAUACUUUUUCCAACUGCGUAUAGCCACUUAUAAAUUGUAGCUUUAUUACUUGAUAGAUGACAGAUAUUUUUAUCAUAAUUGUCUCAGGAAAUACUUCUCACUCAAAGUGACUGCAACAAGAUAAAUUGUCCUACCCCUUGAAUGAUGAAGAUAAAAAAGUAAGGCAAACAACAGGCACAACGACGUGAGAUUGAGGGGUAGAAUUGGAUAGGUCCAUGCUUACUUAAAGAGAUUGUGGAGAAUUAUACUUUCUGAACCUGGCUACAGCCAUAUGUAUUCCAUCUAUCAUGUGCUUAUAAUGUGAACUCUAAUUCCUCUCCCCAUGAAUAUGAGCUAAACUUGGUAACUUGCUUCUACUACAUAAAAUACAGCAGAAGUGACACAUUAUGACUUCUGAGGAAAGGUCAUAAAAGGCAACCCAACUUCCAUAUGGAUAUCUUUCUUUUGUGAGGCUCACUCUUGGAUCUCAACUGCCUUGCUGUGAGGAAGCCAUGCUGGGUUUUCUGGUGGCAACUCCACUUGAUAAAAAUCUUCAAGUACCAUACAUUUGAGUAAGUGAAUCUCUACUGAUUCUACCCCUCAGUCUCUGAGCCUCUGAUGCCAGGUAAUGAGACAGAAUGAGCUGUCCUAGUUGAGACCUGUCCAAAUAGCAGAUUCUUGAACAAAAUAAAUAUUGUUACUAUUUUAAAUCAUUAUAUGUCUUGUAUCGAUUUUUUAAAAUCUAGCAAUACAUAGCAGGAACACUAAAUUUUGAAGUGAAACAUUUGAGACAAGAUUAGUCUUGUGUGUUAUACAAUAAUAAAGAUAACAUAGCAGGGUAGAAGUAGGGCAAAUUCUGAUUGUCUCUGUUGACUUUUAGUCAUGGUCUUUGGGCAUAUUUGAACAUAACCAGCAUCAAGUCUACAUAGCCUCAUAUAAGGAAACACAUAUACACCAGAGAUGAGGAAUAAAAUAAUCAUAUAUUUGAUAAUUAUUAGGUAACCAUUAUUUUAAAAUGAAUGGGACUAAAAAUACCAUAAUCUUAAUAUUUAUAAAUACCUACAAUUAUGUAACAAUUAAACUUUUAGUCAUUUGUGUUGACUAGAAGAUUAUUGUAAUAACUUGUUUUGAAAGAAAUAAUACAUUCAUUGCUUUGUGUUAUUGAGAAUAUGGCAGAUAAUGUUUUCAGUUCUUCAUCAUAUUUAUUUAUUUUAAACUGCAAAUCAUCCCUGUCCAGAGAAGUAAUUUAAAACAUUUAAAUGUCUCAUGUUUUUACAUAAAUCAUGUCAACUCUAAAGGUAUGAUAUUUAAAGAAGAUAAUAUAACCAGUUUUCUUCAAGUGCUUUUUAAAAAUAUUUAUAUUCAAAUAAAAAGUAACACCUAUUUUAUUAAAGAAGGUAACCCUGAUUGUGCCUUUAUAUAAUCAGGACAUGAGUCUCUUACAUUAAAUUGUAAGGAGAGAAAUAUCUCUCUAUGAUAUACAAAGUGUGUCCAAAAUAAAUGAGAUAAACAUUCUCCCUAUACCCAUUUACCCAUAAGCUAUCACCAUUUUUGUCACUACUCUUUGGUUCAUUUUCUCUUUUUGUGAUCUUAAUAGGACACAGUUGAACAGCAGAAAAUUUUACUAAUCUUACUCUAGUCUUGUGAAAAAAAGGAAUGGAGAGAGAGAAUCAGUCUAGUAGCAUGCAUAUGCAUAUUAAAUCUUGUACAAAGGUACAUUCCUCAGUCAGGGAGCUUCAGAAGGACACAGUCCAGUUGAGGUGUAGAGAACCAAUAGAAACUUGCCUCUGCACUUAAAAAAGGAUACAACAUGGUGCCAGUGAUGGUAGGGAGCUGCUUAUAGGUCAAGGUAUAAUAUCAGAGUUUGUGUUAUGUUUUUUUUCCUUUCCAACCCAAGAAAGCUCUUUUUAGUAAGCCAUUCUGGUUU